rnacentral:lncRNA from 1 species
CGAUAGUGGACGAUGAGGGCCCUGUCGUUCCAGCCUGCUCCGGCAGCCAAGGUCCGGAAUUCCUGGGCGCUCCUCGUCCCCUGCCUCAAAUGGAAGAGCCAUUCCCCCGCCGCUCUACCCUUCAGGUGGAUGGUCGAAGACAGCCCGGAAGCUACGGGUGAACUCCUCGAAGUGGUCCAACGCCGCGUCUCCUUCUCCCCACACGGCGUUUGCCCACUCCAGAGCUCUCCCCAAGAGACAUGAGAUGAGGGCAGACACUCUCUCCCUUCCUGAGGGAGCUGGGUGCACAGUGGCCAGGUAGUGGUCCAGUUGUAACAGGAAUCCCUGGCACUGUGCUGCCGUCCCAUCAUACUCCCUGGGAAGGGAGAGACGCAUCCCACUGGGACUGGCUCCGGACGGGACGGGUAGAGGUGACCCCGGUUGCACUGGUCGAGGCACUGGAGAGACCUCCUGUCUCUCCCAGCGGUCCAUAGUCUGGCCAACGCGAUCCAUUAUGGCACCAAGAUGAUGUAACAUAGCCGAAUGUUCCUGGACGCGCUCCUCGACUCCUCUAACCGGGGUCCCUGCUCCUGCUGACUCCAUGGGUGGUGUGAAAUUCUGUUAUGGGUGUGUAAGGGAGGCGAAGUCAGGUGCAGGAGAGUAGCGUGUGGUAACAGGCGAGCUCUAUUCCGUUCCAACAAACAACAGCACAGAAUACACUAAACGUGCCAAAACAUGGAACAUGAAUAAAAAUACAGGCGCAUGGUAAAUUCCCACAUAACAUACAACAAUUUCACACAAAGACAUGGAGGGGAACAGAGGACUAAAUACAUGCAGUGUGAUUAGGGAAUGAAAACCAGGUGUGUAUGGAACAAGACAAAACAAAUGGAAAUAUGAAAAAUGGAGCAGCGAUGGCUAGAAAGCUGGUGACGUCGAUCGCCGAACGCCGCCCAAACAAGGAGAGGAGCUGACUUCAGCGGAAGUCGUGACAUUUGUGCACAACAUUUGAGAGAAAUAAGCUUUUUGUACGUAUGGAAAAUUUUGGGGAUUUUUUAUUUCAGCUCAUGAAACAUGGGACCAACACUUUACAUGUUGUGUUUAUAGUUUUGUUCAGUCUAAAUCAGAAGGGAGUAUGUUUUGAUGUGUCUGUCAUAUCUGAUAGAUAUAAGAAAGCUCAGGAAAAUUAUUAUAUAUUUUUUACAGUGGAAAUGCCCUAUUCACUACCAUUCAUUUUUCGGCUCGGUACCGGGUUACCUUCAGACGGGUCCUGUGACACUUGUGGGGGUCAUACCGCAGAACUGAUAACGCCAUCAUGUUCAUGAGAGUCUCAUUUUUCCAUAGACAUGUUUUUGUUGGAAGACUCGUUUUCGGGAUAUCUCCUGGUCUGACAAACACCGCUGUAGCUCUGCAACCUUCCACCUCAGAUGCGGAUAUACAUUAUCUCUAGCUUAAACAGUGUCGGUCCCUCUGGGAGAUAUUAUGCUAAUUCACUUUCUACAGGGGUGGACAUUAAUCACUGAUUAUAACUGAUUAGGAAGUCCUAGCCAAGCAUUAGCACACCUGACACACAAAGAGUAAUUGCAUCAGGUGUGCUAGUGCUGGGUAAGAACAAACCCCUGUGGGUCCUCAGGACCAGGAUUGAAUAACAUUGAUAGCCAGGAUAUAUUGGUAAGCAUUGUCUAGAGAGGAGGAUCGAGUUGGUUCUAGCAGAUUGAUUUAUGAUUUUCUGUUUAGUAUUUUUAAAGGCUUUAGAUUUUAUUUUCAGGCAUUCUCUGAUGAAUUUAACAAGAGGUUCACAACCAAGUCUGCAACUUCAGGUGGCUCAGCAGCGGUGUCUACUCAGAAGAUUAAAGGUUCUUCCUCAAGUUCAGCAAUGUAUGAGAUAAAGAUGUCAGGAGUGGUUGUACAGGCUGUCACAGGGGACAUUACCAAAGAGACUACGGAUGUCAUUGUCAACUCCUCCAACUCCUCCUUCAGCCUCAAGUCAGGGGUGUCUAAAGCCAUUCUGGACACGGCUGGUCCGACUGUGGAGACUGAAUGCCAACAACUCGGUAAGAGCCUCUACCCUUGACAUCAUAACACAAGAUAUGACAAUCACAGGGUUACACUAUACUUCCCUUUCAUCUGGGUAUUUUCCUCCUGGUUUACCAGUGGUAAACAACAUCAACUCCACUUUAGAAAGCAGAAUCACAUGUCCUGGGGUGGCCUAGCUAGCUGUCUAGUGCUCCAUCUUUACACAAUCAGGCAAUCAAACACAAUGUUUACCUCAACCCGCUCCCAGUUCGGUGAUACAUUUUGAGGGAAUCAUGGGCAGAGUGGUUUUGGUGGGGCGCGGGACUUUCUCGUUCAAACAAACAACUAGCAACAGCUACAAACCAAAACCAUGGUUUGUAUUAUGAAACCUUAACUAUGCUAGAAACAGUGUCAGUGGCAUUUACCGUGAGAAGCUUGCUAACUAAAAUGGCUAGCUGGCAUAAACAGCUAAUCUAGCUAGAUUGAUAACUUGUACAUUACAACCAACGAGAGUGAACAUGAACAGUUCCAAGAACUGUCACUCCAAUUGAAAUCCCCCAAUCACACUUGUAGCCGAUGUCGGUGACGUAACCUAGCAAAGCUCAUGCGCAGAAACAUAUCAUUGGGUCUAAUGCUUGUCCACAGAACAUAUUGCAUUUAACAAACAGUUACAUGACCUACAUCAUGGUCAGCAAGGUAAAGAUUCCGACAUUUUUGGACAACUAAGCACAAUUGAUUUAGCCUCUAUGGGACCGGCGGGACGAAUUCGUCCCACCUACGUAACAGCCAGUUGAAUCCUGUGGCACGAUUUUCAAAACCUUUGAAAUGCUAUUACUUCAAUUUCUCAAACAUAUUACUAUUUUAUAGCUAUGUAAAGACAAGACUCUCGUUAAUCUAACCACACUGUCCGAUUUCAAAAAGGCUUUACAACGAAAGCAAAACAUUAGAUUAUGUCAGCAGAG